CCGGCUAACUCCGUGCCAGCAGCCGCGGUAAUACGGAGGGUGCAAGCGUUACUCGGAAUCACUGGGCGUAAAGGACGCGUAGGCGGGAUGCCAAGUCUGAUGUGAAAUCCUAUGGCUUAACCAUAGAACUGCAUUGGAAACUGGUAACCUAGAGUAUGGGAGGGGGAGAUGGAAUUAGUGGUGUAGGGGUAAAAUCCGUAGAUAUCACUAGGAAUACCGAAAGCGAAGGCGAUCUCCUGGAACAUUACUGACGCUAAGGCGUGAAAGCGUGGGGAGCAAACAGGAUUAGAUACCCUGGUAGUCCACGCCCUAAACGAUGUUCACUAGUCGUCGGGAUGCUAGUCAUCUCGGUGAUGCACUUAACAGAUUAAGUGAACCGCCUGGGGAGUACGGUCGCAAGAUUAAAACUCAAAGGAAUAGACGUGGACCCGCACAAGUGGUGGAGCAUGUGGUUUAAUUCGAAGAUACGCGAAGAACCUUACCUAGCCUUGACAUUGAAGAAACACUUCAGAGAUAGAGUGGUGCCCUUCGGGGAAUCUGAAAACAGGUGCUGCACGGCUGUCGUCAGCUCGUGUCGUGAGAUGUUGGGUUAAGUCCCGCAACGAGCGCAACCCUCGUCCUUAGUUGCCAGCAGGUUAAGCUGGGCACUCUAAGGAGACUGCCUUCGUAAGGAGGAGGAAGGUGAGGACGACGUCAAGUCAUCAUGGCCCUUAUGGCUAGGGCUACACACGUGCUACAAUGGGGCGUACAGAGUGUUGCGAUACCGCGAGGUGGAGCUAAUCACUUAAAGCGUCUCUCAGUUCGGAUUGGAGUCUGCAACUCGACUCCAUGAAGCUGGAAUCACUAGUAUCGUAGAUCAGCAAUGCUACGGUGAAUACGUUCCCGGGUCUUGCACACACCGCCCGUC
rnacentral:rRNA from 1 species